AAUCCCUGUGGAGAAUUAAAUGAAAAUUAAAAGUAGUGGAAUGAAUUUCCAUUUGAUGAGCUUUGGAUUCUGAGGGAUG